UAUUUACAAAAACAGAAAAAAAUCUAUUUUAAUGCAACUUUGCACGAGGGUUCAGAGGUGAAAUUCUGAACGGCGGCUGUAUAAAAGGUGUUAUUACUAAUUUUGUUACAUUAAUUUGUUUCUUUUUAAUGUUGAUGGGUGGACUUGCAAAUUGAGUUUUCUUUGUAUUAUUGGUCCAGGUACAGAUACUGGAAGGUUGCAUGCUUCCUGGUGCUAGAAGAUACUCUU
rnacentral:misc_RNA from 1 species